UAUAUUGAAGUGUAUGAUGCACAGUAGUUUUUGAAACUAUUUGUGAUAGUUUGAUUCUAUCUAAUAUAA
rnacentral:tRNA from 1 species